UGGCGUAGUGGUCACUGCGCUCGCCUUGCACGCGGGAGACCCGGGUUCGAUUCUCGG
rnacentral:tRNA from 1 species